CUCCGCGGGCUCACGGGGCGGGGAAGGGGGGUCGGGCUGCAGGAGGAGGCGCCCGGACCGCGGAGCAAGAGCCCGGGUAGCGGUCCGCGCCGGGGCGGGCGCUCCGUCAGCACCGGAACAAUACAAGCGCCUCGGAGCGAGUCCCCGAACCUGCCCUAGCCAAAAUGGCGGCCGAGAAAGAGCGGAAGUGACGGGGAGCUCUCGCGAGAACCAAGAGGAUUUGCCAUUGACCCACUAGGAGGCGCCGCGGAUAAUGGCCGCAGUGCGCCUCCAUGGCCCGUGUGCACGGCGGGCGCCUUCCUCUGGCCACAGCGCCGGCGGCGGAGGCACAAGCAGAGGGCCGCAGCACGCGCUGCACUCAGUCAGGUGGCCGCGCUGGGGAUCCUUGCGCGGGCCCAGCUGGGCCUGGACUACAUCUGGUGGGAGGGGGCGUGCGCGCAGCCCCGCGGCUCCACGUGCUGGGAAGCCCGCGCUCUCGGGCUGGGCAGCAGCCGGAAGGGCAGACACACCUGGCCGGUCAUGCCCGACACCUCCUGCUUUAAAUGAGGUGUGAGGGCCUCGUGCUUCACACACCCACUUGAGAUGAGACCCAACCCCAUGGAUGCUUGACCCCUUGCGGGUGAGGUGCGCUAUUCAGUGGCCAGGCCUGCGUUUUACAGAAGGCCGGCUGUUGCCCUGGGACUGGACAUUCUUCCGAAUCAGUGAUGGACUCUUCUCUUUGGCCUGAAGAAAACAAGUGGGAUCCCUAGCGUUUGAGGCCACUGGGCUGGUGAAGCCCAAGGAUGUGAAAUGAUGUUGCCAGUGGGCCUCCACAAGAUCCUUAAAAACCAGACUGUAGUCCCAAGCCUUUUAGUGCUCCCACAAUUUGCACAGCAUAGGACACAACGUGGGCCUUUGUAAAUUUAGGUCAACCCCAACCAACACAUUGUGUUCUCAACAUUCUUGAAUCCACCUUUUAUAGUUGAGUGCAUAUGAGUGUCUAUCACUGGCUAGACAUACUUAAAAGUAAUAAAUGUCAAUUGUGAAGGAUUAACCAAAC